GACCGCGUAGCUCAGUUGGCAGAGCAUUGGGCUGGUAUUCCGAAGGUCGUAGGUUCGAAUCCCACCGUGGCCA
rnacentral:tRNA from 1 species